rnacentral:sRNA from 1 species
GUGGAAGGCCGGGCGGAAGUGCGCGCCUGGGGCCGCCUUGGUUACCGCGUUUUCCGCCCCUCGUUACGUCAUUGUUGUGAGCCCGCUAUCCGCGGCCAGCGCGGGCGCGGCCGGAGACCGUGGGGCCCGGGUUGCCGCCCCCUCAGGAGCCACCAUGUUGGUGAUACCUCCCGGACUGAGCGAGGAAGAGGAGGCUCUGCAGAAGAAAUUCAACAAACUCAAGAAAAAGAAAAAGGCAUUGCUGGCUCUGAAGAAGCAAAGUAGCAGCAGCACAGCCAGCCAAGGUGGUGUCAAACGCUCACUAUCAGAGCAGCCUGUCGUGGACACAGCCACAGCAACAGAGCAGGCAAAGCAGCUGGUGAAGUCAGGAGCCAUCAGCGCCAUCAAGGCUGAGACCAAGAACUCAGGCUUCAAGCGUUCUCGAACCCUUGAGGGGAAGUUAAAGGACCCUGAGAAGGGACCAGUCCCCACUUUCCAGCCGUUCCAGAGGAGCAUAUCUGCUGAUGAUGACCUGCAAGAGUCGUCCAGACGUCCCCAGAGGAAAUCUCUGUAUGAGAGGUUAGAGAGUAGAGAUAAGACUGGGCCCACUUGGUGGGGUUGAUUGCCUGAGUCCUUGGGAGGUUUGGGCUGUAGGAGCUGGGCUAUAGAAGGAAUAAUGAGUCUCCACAGGGUCUGAGGGGAGAAGGUAAAACCCCCCUUUGAUCUUCAGUCUGCAUCUCCCCAGCUUUGUGUCUUCUAGUGAUCGACUUCGAGAACUAGGGCCAGAUGGAGAAGAGACAGAGGGCCCAGGGGCUGGCGAUGGUCCCCCUCGAAGCUUUGACUGGGGCUAUGAAGAACGCAGUGGUGCCCACUCCUCAGCCUCCCCUCCCCGAAGCCGCAGCCGGGACCGCAGCCAUGAGAGGAACCGGGACAGAGACCGAGAUCGGGAGCGGGAUCGAGACCGGGAUCGAGACAGAGACAGAGAGCGGGACAGGGAUAGGGAUCGGGAUCGGGAUCGAGAUCGAGACCGGGAACGGGACAGGGAUCGGGAGCGGGAUCGAGACCGAGACCGAGAGGGUCCUUUCCGCAGGUCGGAUUCAUUCCCUGAACGGCGAGCCCCUAGGAAAGGGAAUACUCUCUAUGUAUACGGAGAAGACAUGACACCCACCCUUCUCCGUGGGGCCUUCUCUCCUUUUGGAAACAUCAUUGACCUCUCCAUGGACCCACCCAGAAACUGUGCCUUCGUCACCUAUGAAAAGAUGGAGUCAGCAGAUCAGGCCGUUGCUGAGGUUGGAACUUCCCAAAUCUGUUCUUUCCAUCGCUUCUGCUGUUCUCAUGUGUUCUCCUCAAAAUACUAGAUGCCAGGAAGAAGUUGGGUCCUCUUGAUAAAGAAAGCCUCUCCCUAUUCACACAGAAAAACUUACAUUCUCAGAUUCCUUAUUCGGUCUACUCCUAGGAUAGCAACUCCUGAAAUAACAUCUUUGGUUUAUCUGUAAUGUUUUCCUCCCCAUCCUCUGCCUCCCCUCUUCUGCUUCAGCUCAACGGGACCCAGGUGGAGUCUGUACAGCUCAAAGUCAACAUAGCCCGAAAACAGCCCAUGCUGGAUGCCGCUACUGGCAAGUCUGUCUGGGGCUCCCUCGCUGUCCAGAACAGCCCUAAGGGUUGCCACCGGGACAAGAGGACCCAGAUUGUCUACAGUGAUGACGUCUACAAGGAAAACCUUGUGGAUGGCUUCUAGGGAACAGAGCUGGAUUCCUUGUGCCUCAUAUGCCCCAAUGCUGGUCUCAGUAAAACACUGAGGUGGAAGUUUAC